AGUGAACGCUGGCGGUAGGCCUAACACAUGCAAGUCGAACGGCAGCACAGUAAGAGCUUGCUCUUACGGGUGGCGAGUGGCGGACGGGUGAGGAAUACAUCGGAAUCUACUUUUUCGUGGGGGAUAACGUAGGGAAACUUACGCUAAUACCGCAUACGACCUACGGGUGAAAGCAGGGGAUCUUCGGACCUUGCGCGAUUGAAUGAGCCGAUGUCGGAUUAGCUAGUUGGCGGGGUAAAGGCCCACCAAGGCGACGAUCCGUAGCUGGUCUGAGAGGAUGAUCAGCCCCACUGGAGCUGAGCCACGGUCCAGACUCCUACGGGAGGCAGCAGUGGGGAAUAUUGGGCAAUGGGGGCAAGCCUGAUCCAGCCAUACCGCGUGGGUGAAGAAGGCCUUCGGGUUGUAAAGCCCUUUUGUUGGGAAAGAAAAGCAGCAGGUUAAUACCCCGCUGUUCUGACGGUACCCAAAGAAUAAGCACCGGCUAACUUCGU
rnacentral:rRNA from 1 species